ACCCGCUGAACUUAAGCAUAUCAAUAAGCGGAGGAAAAGAAAGCAACAGCGAUAGCCCUAGUAACGGCGAGUGAAGCGGCUACAGCUCAAAUUUGAAAUCUGGCCCUCUUUGGGGGUCCGAGUUGUAAUUUGCAGAGGAUGCUUUGGCAUUGGCGGCGGUCUAAGUUCCCUGGAACAGGACAUCGCAGAGGGUGAGAAUCCCGUACGUGGGCGCCUGCCUUUGCCGUGUAAAGCUCCUUCGACGAGUCGAGUUGUUUGGGAAUGCAGCUCUAAAUGGGAGGUAAAUUUCUCCUAAAGCUAAAUACCGGCCAGAGACCGAUAGCGCACAAGUAGAGUGAUCGAAAGAUGAAAAGUACUUUGGAAAGAGAGUCAAAUAGCACGUGAAAUUGUUGAAAGGGAAGCGCUUGCAGCCAGACUUGCCCGCAGUUGCUCACCCAGGCUCUCGCCUGGGGCACUCUUCUGCGGGCAGGCCAGCAUCAGUUUGGGCGGUCGGACAAAGGCCUCUGUCAUGUACCACCCUUCGGGGUGGCCUUAUAGGGGAGGCGUAAUGCGACCAGCCCGGACUGAGGUCCGCGCAUCUGCUAGGAUGCUGGCGUAAUGGCUGU
rnacentral:rRNA from 1 species